CACAGAGAAGUAGUGGUGCUUAGGUCAGUGGUAGGUUUCUUUUUUAAAGGCAGACAGGAAUCAAGGAACAGAAGCCCUUGAGAGACCUUAAAAAUCAUUCCUUUGAAUUCCUCCCCCUCCCCCCAAUACACAUUCCUGUGUCUGGAACUAAAAUGUUGACUCCAAGUUGAGCCUGUUUCCCCUCACCCAUCUUCUUUUUUUGUGGGGGUAGCGGCCCUGCAAUGCACUUAUCACCUGUUCUUUCGGAAAACGCACCUGACGUAACCUUGCCUUUCCAUUCCCCAGGCGGGAGGCAGCACCGGGCUCUUGAUGGACUUGGCAGCCAAUGAAAAGGCCGUUCAUGCAGACUUUUUUAAUGAUUUUGAAGAUCUUUUUGAUGAUGAUGACAUCCAGUGAGAUGCCCUCUGGCUGCAGGUGGGGCCAAGCCCUUGGUACAGAGCCGCAGUGUGAGCCUGCGCAGGACAGUUUCAGGUGGUUUUAAAGAACACGUGGAAAUCCCUUGAAUUUAGGACCUGGUUAACCAGAAAGAUAAGACUGUUCUUAACGACCUAGAUGGUUCUGUUCAUCUCUGAACGGGAUCAGGUUUUGUCCUCACUCCAAUUAAAAGAAAGCAAUGUCA
rnacentral:sRNA from 1 species